ensembl:lincRNA Gm13833 predicted gene 13833
ACCAGCACCUACAACUGACUGAGAACUGGCUCCUGCCUGCAAGCCUGGUCUUAAGGAGACAAAAUUAACAGAUGCUCCGUGUUCAGUUAGUGGCCUGGCAGGUGGACGGUCCCACUUUCUCCUGUCCCCAGUGGCUGGCACUACUCUAAAAAGUUGCUGAGAGCCCCAGCUCUGUUGAACAUCAAUGAUUUUAAGCCGUUCUGCCUCCCUCCUCCUGCCUGAGUUGCAGGCAACUUGUUAUAGCGCUUCUUACAAGGAACUCUGAAGCAGGGGCGAAUGAGCCCAAAGCAACACUAGGCAUGAUGUGCCUUGUUUAUCUGUUUAAACAGGCGUUAAGGAAAGGAAAAGAGGCCUGUGGGUUUCUUGCCCUUCUUAUAUAAGAGGUGGAUCUCUCAGAAUGGCCAAGCAGGAGGGAAAAGCUGCCACAUGUUAUAACAGAAGCCACUGGGCUUGGCAAGACAGAGAACGGAAGAAUUACAAUGGAAUGGCAGUUUCUCCAUCAGUGCAGAGCUUCGCUGUGAGUGGCCAUUCUCAAACAUAGACAGCCCUGCUCCGAAGCUUCUCCAGAUGCUGGUUCAGACCCGUGUGCCACACAAGCCAGAAGAAACGAUCCUGGUCGUGGGCAGCAGGGAAGAAGGUGACAGUCAGGCAAGUGUGGACAUCUCAAAGCAUGGAUGGAGAAGAAACCUCAGAAGUAGGGCUGGGUGGAUUAAAACCCC